GUGAGGAAUAUUGCGCAAUGGAGGCAACUCUGACGCAGCCAUGCCGCGUGCAGGAAGAAGGCGCUACGCGUUGUAAACUGCUUUUAACCGGGAAGAAACCCCAGGACGUGUCCUGGGUUGACGGUACCGGAGGAAUAAGCACCGGCUAACUUCGUGCCAGCAGCCGCGGUAAUACGAAGGGUGCAAGCGUUAUCCGGAUUCAUUGGGUUUAAAGGGUGCGUAGGCGGAGCGUUAAGUCAGUGGUGAAAUCCUGCAGCUUAACUGUAGACUUGCCAUUGAUACUGGCGCUCUUUAGUGCGCUUGAAGUGGGCGGAAUGUGCAGUGUAGCGGUGAAAUGCUUAGAUAUGGCACAGAACACCAAUUGCGAAGGCAGCUCACUAAGGCGAUACUGACGCUGAGGCACGAAAGCGUGGGGAUCGAACAGGAUUAGAUACCCGUGUAGUCC
rnacentral:rRNA from 1 species